rnacentral:rRNA from 1 species
AUACGGAGGAUGCGAGCGUUAUCCGGAUUUAUUGGGUUUAAAGGGUGCGCAGGCGGCCAUUUAAGUCAGCGGUUAAAUCGUGGGGCUCAACCCCAUUCUGCCGUUGAUACUGGGUGGCUUGAUUGCGGUCGAGGUUGGCGGAAUUCGUUGUGUAGCGGUGAAAUGCAUAGAUAUGACGAAGAACACCGAUUGCGUAGGCAGCUGACCAGACCGCAAAUGACGCUCAUGCACGAAGGUGCGGGGAUCGAACAGGAUUAGAUACCCUGGUAGUCCGCACAGUAAACGAUGAAUACUUGUUUUCGGCGAUAUAAUGUCGGAGGCAAAGCGAAAGCGAUAAGUAUUCCACCUGGGGAGUACGCCGGCAACGGUGAAACUCAAAUGAAUUGGCGGGG